UAGGCCACACACACACACAAAAGUAGGCAACCAUGGCGAGAAGGGAAAUUCCCCAAUUUUCGUGACUAUUCCGCCGGAAAAUACGGUCGUUCCUGUCCCCGUUCCUGUGCAAGAAGUUGUUCUGUUUUCUCUUUCGUUCCGAUAGAAUGAAUCUGUCCCAUUUCAUAUUUUCUCUCCGUUUCGGUUUUCCACGGAGCAGACGAGAAUAUUCUACAGUAUUUGUCUUCAGAUUUUCUUUUUUGAAAAACUAACAAGGAAAAAGCGAGUCCAAAGAAGCCUCUUGCCUGUCGUCUCGUCUGCAACUGUGCGCCUCUCAAGUAGCAGAGCGAGGCAGCCGAGUCAGGGAACAGGCCGCGGGACGACAGUGAGAACAUGGAGCUGCCGCGGAGCGCCAAGACCGCGCCGGCGAAGGUCGACGUCCGGCGGCCACCUUCCGCCUUGCGCGGCCGACGGCCAUCGUCACGACGUGCAGGGAAACCCCAUUCCCAAAUUGACGCCAAAGUAUGUUUUGAACUAGUCCUGGUACAGAUCCUUUAUUUAGACGGAGAUGAAGCAUAAUGCCCAACCAUAGUGAGUGCAACGGCCUUCAUUUUCCCUCAUAAUGGAUUGGAGGUACCUCUUGGUUCUUCGACUUGUUACAACCGGGAUCAUGCUGCUCAUUUUCUUUCACCCGGCAUCUUCGAAUACUGAACCCAAUUGUCCACCUUGUACUUGCUGCCGACCAUGCAGCUGUGGUCAUAACUGAUUGUACAUCGUUCCAGCAGUCUUCUUGGGAUCACUGUUCCGCAGAAAGCCAAUUACAGUCUCCUCUUUUUACGCCAUAUAUAUGUAUUACUCGGUUGUACCGUAGUAAAACAAGAUACCGUUGUAACGAUGGAUGCUGGUCUAUUGAGUAUUUACCUGGCCUAAGACUCGGAGCACUAUGCCAUAACUUGUAACGAUGAAUGCUGGCGAAAAUAGCUUUUGGAGCUCGGCCUUCAUGGAGGCCGGUUUUUGAAAAA